UACGAAGGGUGCAAACGUUGCUCGGAAUUAUUGGGCGUAAAGCGCACGUAGGCGGCUCUGCAAGUCGGAUGUGAAAUCCCUCGGCUCAACCAAGGAAGUGCAUCCGAAACUGCAAAGCUUGAGUACCAAAGAGGAUCGCGGAAUUCCCGGUGUAGAGGUGAAAUUCGAUAGAUAUCGGGAGGAACACCAGUGGCGAAGGCGAUUUUCUAGCUUACACCUGACGCUGAUGCGCGAAAGCAAGGGGAGCAAACAGG
rnacentral:rRNA from 1 species